rnacentral:rRNA from 1 species
UACGAAGGUGGCAAGCGUUGUUCGGAUUUACUGGGCGUAAAGGGAGCGUAGGUGGUUAGGUAAGCCCUCCGGGAAAUCUUCAGGCUUAACCUGAAAAGGUCGGGGGGGACUGCCUGGCUAGAGGACGGGAGAGGAGCGCGGAAUUCCCGGUGUAGCGGUGAAAUGCGUAGAGAUCGGGAGGAAGGCCGGUGGCGAAGGCGGCGCUCUGGAACGUUUCUGACACUGAGGCGCGAAAGCGUGGGGAGCAAACAGG